AGUGGUUCUUGACAGUUCAACAG
rnacentral:piRNA from 1 species